AGAGUUUGAUCCUGGCUCAGAUUGAACGCUGGCGGCAGGCCUAACACAUGCAAGUCGAGCGGAUGAGAGGAGCUUGCUCCUCGAUUCAGCGGCGGACGGGUGAGUAAUGCCUAGGAAUCUGCCUAGUAGUGGGGGACAACGUUUCGAAAGGAACGCUAAUACCGCAUACGUCCUACGGGAGAAAGUGGGGGAUCUUCGGACCUCACGCUAUUAGAUGAGCCUAGGUCGGAUUAGCUAGUUGGUAGGGUAAAGGCCUACCAAGGCGACGAUCCGUAACUGGUCUGAGAGGAUGAUCAGUCACACUGGAACUGAGACACGGUCCAGACUCCUACGGGAGGCAGCAGUGGGGAAUAUUGGACAAUGGGCGAAAGCCUGAUCCAGCCAUGCCGCGUGUGUGAAGAAGGCCUUCGGGUCGUAAAGCACUUUAAGUUGGGAGGAAGGGCUCAUAGCGAAUACCUGUGAGUUUUGACGUUACCAACAGAAUAAGCACGGGCUAACUACGGU
rnacentral:rRNA from 1 species